UGGCUUAGAGGCUCGUACUGCACAGACCCGCCCCUUUUGGCCAAACAGGACUCUGCAGAAACAAACUCCAACUGCGAACCAAACUUCUAACAUUACUAGCGUUUGUUUUGUUAUAUUUUCUUUACAUGCUAUAAAGCUUCUCGACUUUAUUGAUACUUUUAUACAGUAGGGAUAACUCAUGCGUACACAAUGACGCGAGAGGAGGACCUGAUACGGAUAGCGAAAAAGCUAGACAAAAUGGUGUCUAGGAAUAACACGGAAGGUGCUCUUGACCUGUUGAGAGAAUUGCAAAAAUUCAAUAUGACCCUGAAGUUACUUCAGGACACAAGAAUCGGUAUGUCUGUUAAUGGAAUAAGAAAACACUGCAGAAAUGAGGAUGUUGUCACCCUCGCAAAGAUUCUUAUAAAAAACUGGAAGAGGCUAUUAGAACCCAGCCAUUCCCAGAAGGCAGAAAGACCAAAUGAGAUGAAAAAUGGGAGUGGAGACAGUACAAAGUCACCUUGUGGACCUUCUUCAGACACAGACACAAGCCCCAAAUCAAGUUUAAACAGUCCCAAGAAAGCAGGUAAUAAGCACAGAAAAGAGACAGUGUUUAAGAAAGAAAGACAAGAAAGUGACCACAAAAAGGAAAAACACGUCAGUAAUCACACAAAAGAAAAGGAGAGGAUCAGUAUUAUGGAUUCGAGUGUAUCUUCCUCUACUUCACCCGUCCUUCCUCUCAAGUGUUCAUCAGUGGACGUGAAGAAAGACAGGACAGAGGCUCCCGAUCCACAAAGUUCUUCUCAUCUUCUUCAUCUUCACCAUUCUCUUCCUGCUCAUAUUCGUAAACACCAGCCUGAAGUGAAGAAAGACAGAAGAGUGGCACCAGAAACUCUGACCUCACAACAUUCUCAGUCUCAUCAUUCCUCUUCUCAUAAAAGGCCAUCUCUAGAGAUUCCUAAGGAGAGAAAAAAGACUCCAGAUCAAAAUGCCCCACUUCCACCUUUGCCUCUUCAUCUGCAUCCUCCUGCUCAGAAACAAUGUGCUUUAGAGAUGAAGAAACCAAGGAAAGAGAUUGUGAAUCCUGAUGCUCCUCUUCCUCCUCUUCCUCUUCACCUUCAUCCCUCUACACCUACAAAGCGUCUUUCCUUAGACAUGCAGAAAGGCAAAGAAAAAGAAAGCAAGGACAAAGAGAGAAAAGAGAUGGUAGCACCAAAACGAAGUGCACAGCAGAUGAUGGCUGAGCAUAAGAAAACCAGCAGAGAUCUGGGGGAGAGUAAACCAGCCAAAAGACUAUCUACAGACAUGAAGAAAGACAGAAAUUCCACGGAUUUCAGUCACCAGCCUCCAAAAAAACUCUUCAAUGAUGCAAAGAAAGAAAGAAAAGACUCCACAGACUCGAAGUCUGGUCAGCGACAACACGCGAGUGACUCCAAACCUCAGAGAAGAGACUCGGUUAAUUCGAUGUCGGGAAGCUCACCCCUGUCUAAGAAGCUCUCGGAAGAAAGGAAAGAAUCUCAUGGCCCUAAGUUAACUCUCCCUGGAACUGUACAGAGAAAGGUGUCCACAGACAGUAAUGAUGGACGAAAAAGUAAACCUGAGACCCCAAAGACACCCAGCACCCCCACCACCCCUAUGUCUCCAUCCUUCAGCCCUGCUGGUGGUCCUCUCUCCCCUCACCUGCUCACUGGGGACUCAGUCAGGGACAAGUGCAUUGAAAUGCUGUCAGCUGCACUACGCACAGAUGAUGACUACAAAUAUUAUGGAGCAAACUGUGAUUCCAUGGCAGCUGAAAUUGAGGAUCAUAUCUACCAGGAGAUUAAAGCCACAGAUAUGAAAUAUAAAAACAGAGUACGUAGCCGCAUCAGCAAUCUGAAAGAUCCAAAGAAUCCGAACUUACGCAAGAAUGUCCUGGGAGGAGCAAUCGAGUUGAGUCGCAUAGCCACCAUGACUGCUGAGGUAGGAAAUGGCCAGUGAUGAGCUGAAGCAGCUAAGGAACAUUCUGACUCAGGAAGCCAUCCGUGAGCACCAGAUGGCCAAGACUGGAGGCACUACGACUGACCUGCUGCAGUGUGGCAAAUGCAAGAAAAAGAAUUGCACAUACAACCAGGUGCAAACCCGGAGUGCUGAUGAGCCCAUGACUACAUUUGUACUAUGCAAUGAGUGUGGAAACCGCUGGAAGUUUUGCUGAUUCCUGUUCAGAUCAACAGUGAACACUUGGGAUCUUUUUUAAUAUAGAUUAUACUGUAGUGUGCCAUUUUUAAAAAGUUGUAAUGGCUUCAUUGAUUAUUGGAGUUACAAAUCAAACAAUGCCAUACAAUAGAAAAUGCAACCAGAACAUUUUUAAGAAUUUUAAUUUUGUCUUUAAAUUCAGUAAUUUUUUUAAAAACCUUUUUUCUACCACAUACAUUAACUGCAUGAUUUGAAGUGGAAUUUAAACUAAAAAAAAAAAAAGUUGGAAAUCCAUUUGUAACAGUUAUUUUUGAAUUUUUGCUGUCCUUGAUUGCUUUGUAAAUGCUAGAGCAAUAAUUUAAUGACAAAGCUGAAAAGCUCUAUAUAAAUUAAUUUAAUUCUAACAAUAAAAAUAAACAAAUAAUUAUUGUAAAGCAUCAAUAUUAGUAUUAGCUUUUCUUUAAAGGCUGUUUGAAUUAAUACACUACAGUUAUAAUGUUAAUGAUCAAGUUGUGCCUUAGUAAAUAAAGCUGUAUUUAUACUGAA